ACUGCGAAGGGGGGACGGAGAAGGCUAUGUUAGCCGGGCGACGGUUGUCCCGGUUUAAGCAUGUAGGCUGGUUAUCCAGGCAAAUCCGGAUAAUCAAGGCUGAGGUGUGAUGACGAGGUACUACGGUGCUGAAGUAACAAAUGCCCUGCUUCCAGGAAAAGCCUCUAAGCAUCAGGUAACAUCAAAUCGUACCCCAAACCGACACAGGUGGUCAGGUAGAGAAUACCAAGGCGCUUGAGAGAACUC
rnacentral:rRNA from 1 species